rnacentral:rRNA from 1 species
UGGGGAAUAUUGCACAAUGGGCGCAAGCCUGAUGCAGCCAUGCCGCGUGUGUGAAGAAGGCCUUCGGGUUGUAAAGCACUUUCAGCGAGGAGGAAGGUGGUGAGCUUAAUACGCUCAUCAAUUGACGUUACUCGCAGAAGAAGCACCGGCUAACUCCGUGCCAGCAGCCGCGGUAAUACGGAGGGUGCAAGCGUUAAUCGGAAUUACUGGGCGUAAAGCGCACGCAGGCGGUUUGUUAAGUCAGAUGUGAAAUCCCCGGGCUCAACCUGGGAACUGCAUUUGAAACUGGCAAGCUAGAGUCUCGUAGAGGGGGGUAGAAUUCCAGGUGUAGCGGUGAAAUGCGUAGAGAUCUGGAGGAAUACCGGUGGCGAAGGCGGCCCCCUGGACGAAGACUGACGCUCAGGUGCGAAAGCGUGGGGCAGCAAACAGGAUUAGAUACCCUGGUAGUCCACGCUGUAAACGAUGUCGAUUUUGGAGGUUGUGCCCUUGAGGCGUGGCUUCCGGAGCUAACGCGUUAAAUCGACCGCCUGGGGAGUAC